GCAUCAAUGGGGUAGUGGUAACCUGGGUCGUUGCCACUGUUAGAGUUCGACCCGCCGCGAGUUCGAUUCUCGCUUGAUGCA